rnacentral:misc_RNA from 1 species
AAUGAAGCCGGGAAACCGGUCCUUCUAACCCUUGAUUAUCAUAAUUUGUUGCUUUGGUAGGCCGCGCAAGCACCGGCUCCGGCUGGUUAGUGCCUACCAGAGAACCGAAACUCUGAAUUAUAUUGUCGUCUGAGUACUAUAAAAUAGUUAAAACUUUCAACAACGGAUCUCUUGGUUCU